GUGGGGAAUAUUGGGCAAUGGGGGAAACCCUGACCCAGCAACGCCGCGUGAAGGAAGAAGGUUUUCGGAUCGUAAACUUCUAUCCUUGGUGAAGAUAAUGACGGUAGCCAAGAAGGAAGCCCCGGCUAACUACGUGCCAGCAGCCGCGGUAAUACGUAGGGGGCAAGCGUUGUCCGGAAUGAUUGGGCGUAAAGGGCGCGUAGGCGGCCCGGUAAGUCUGAAGUGAAAGUCCUGCUUUUAAGGUGGGAAUUGCUUUGGAUACUGUCGGGCUUGAGUGAAGGAGAGGUAAGCGGAAUUCCCGGUGUAGCGGUGAAAUGCGUAGAGAUCGGGAGGAACACCAGUGGCGAAGGCGGCUUACUGGACUGUAACUGACGCUGAGGCGCGAAAGUGUGGGGAGCAAACAGGAUUAGAUACCCGGGUAGUCC
rnacentral:rRNA from 1 species